CCUGUUACAGUUUGCUAGUCGGUAGAGCAUGAGACUCUUAAUCUCAGGUUCGUGGGUUUGAGCCCCACGUUGAGGG
rnacentral:tRNA from 1 species